rnacentral:tRNA from 1 species
UCCUGGUAGCUCCGCUGGUAAAGAAUCUGCCUGCAAUGCAGGAGACCCUGGUUUGAUUCCUGGAUCAGGAA